UUGGGUCUUUUGGCUCUUCUCGCAGCAACCAAAGAAAUUCUUUGGAGUCUGCUCUGAGCUCCUUGGAAAACCUGACCUGACUCCAGCCUCUGCUCAGCCUGUUCCUAUCAGAUUCUCCAGGAUAAGACAUCCAGAGACGGGUCAUUUCCGGCAGGGGAGGUAGAGGGAGAGUUUCGAGCUUUCUGUUGUGAGUAGUUGGCCUUGACUGUGACCCUCGCAGCCCCCCUCCCCUCCAGCCUCCGCCCCACUUGGGACGGAGUUUGCGGGUCCAGCCGCCACACCGGCCUUUCUCCCUGGCCGCGGCGCUCGGCGGACGCGGGAUCCGCUGAGAUUCCGUCUCAACGAAUUCCGGGCGGAGAGGCGGGAGUCCUGCGUGUCCCGCCGCGCCGCGGGUCCCAGCGUCCCCAGGAGUCUGGCAUCCCCGGGAGGCCUAGCCCAAGGGCAGGAGAGUCAGCGGGGCCCUACUGAAAGUGCACGACCCGGGCAGCCGGCGGCCGAACAGCUCCGGGAGCAGGCGAGCGGUAUCCGGGAAGCUCAAAGGCCGCCCCCCGGACGCCCCAGGCCCCAGCGCUGGGAUUGUACCUACCUGCGGAAUGUCCUCUUCUGCAUGAGUCCGCGUCGAGCUGGGCAGGGUCCGAGAGCUGCCGGGCUGAGGGCUCCGGCCUGCAUGUGCUCUCCGCGGCAAUCUGUGUCCAGAAAAUGCUCGGAGUUCUCCGGACACAGCAGCCUCUAGAGGCGGUCUUGGGGAAUUGGGAGGCGGGAAGAAGGCCACAGUCUCCCCUGGGGUCCUGCUGUGUGAUCUGCGCCGGCCGGGAAGCAUUGAUCUUGAGUCCAAAAGAGGAGAGAAAUCGCACCCCGAGAAGAAGGCGCGAGCUCGGUGGCUCCAGUCCUGCGGGAGCAGAGGGGACAGCAGACCUGCCCAGGUAGAGGGAGACGACUUCUGAGGUGCUGGAGGCUAUUUCUGGAUUUUGCGCGGCCUGGCGCUGGGUGCCACAGCCGGUGAAUGCGGGAGACCUGCAGCAGACCCGGCGCUGCCGCCAGAACCUGCUCACUACGCUCCACACAGCUCGUCAGGGCCCAACCUGAGCACUCCGCGGGCCUGCGGGGAUGGGGCGGAAAGGCUGGCUGCUGUCUUCGGACCCUGAACCCUCCCCUCUUUUUCUCUUUUCUUCAUGUCUACACAAAGUGAGUGACAGAAGCCCCCUCUUAUGCGGAUAUCCCAGGGGACCCCAGAUGAGGGGGUGGAUGACCAAGCCCACCCUCCACUCAGCCGAACUUCCCCAUGGGCUUGCUGGGGUGGGAAGUUGCUGUGCUCACGACCUGUGUCACAGCCCUCAUGGCUGCCGGGCAGGGGCAGGGUUGGGGGACAGUGGUUCUGACAGUUAGGGUGGCUCCCCACCCUCAGUAUCCCGCAAACACUUCUGCAGAGCUUCCAGUGACCCCCACACCACGAACUUCCACUUUCAGCUGAAAAGUUCUCUCACUCUCCCAUCCCAGAGAAAAAGCCUCUUACCCCUCCAUUUCAACUCACCCCUAGGGUGAUGAGUUCUGUAGACCCUCCACCACACAGCUUCUUCCAGAAAAGCAGACCCAAGUCAGUCUUGUCUAGGAUAAUUCGAAUAGGCUGGGGACUGGCUGUUAUGCCUGUGUGCAUGUGUACUGUGGCUGCAGGUCUGGCAAGGGUGGUCUGGAGGGCUCCUGGAGGUUCCCAGAAAGUCAAUUCUUUAGAUCUCUCCUAGGCCAGGCUAGUGCUGGGAACUGGUAGGUCCCACUUACAGCACCAGAGAGGAUUCUGGCCUUAAUUUCUGAUUCAAUGUGCCCCAGUCUCUGCAGCUUGCUGGGUAAGCGUCUAGAGCCCCAGAACUUCAGCAGAUGUUGGUCCCGCCACAAUGUAUCUGCGUAUCGCACAACAGACUCCCACCAACACAUACACCAUCAGCACACAAUUACACACACUCAUACAGAACCAUACCCACCCACUUGCAGUGAUGGUCUCCCACAGUGAUCCACACUCCCCACUACCUUUACUCCCCCAAUUACAUUCUGUCACACACAAGUAAAUACAGGGAAAAUGCACAGCUCACACAUAAUUACAUCUCACACACAAUUACACCCAUAAAAUUCAAGAUGAUCCACUUCAGAAGCAGUCACACAUUUCACAGAAAAAUAGAUUUACAAAGAGAAACUAAUACAUAUUCUCCCAAACAUCAACACGAUUCAUACAUAAUCACAAACAAUGGUUGAUUACACAAUUACCCAAAAAGAAACAGUCACAUUCACAUACGGUUACACACACACCACUACAAGCCCGUGCAUACAAUGAUAGUUUCGAUUUGCAACUUAAGCAGAAACAAGCAUUUACACGCAAGAAUUGCAAACACAAUUAUACACUUAAAUACCAUUAUAAAUAUUCACUAUUUGCUCGCAUUGCUGAUUGCUCACAUUAUCACAAACACACCACACACACACACACACACACACACACACACACGACUCUCACAUCCAAAGAAAUCCACAUCCUCUCAGGCACUGGUAAUCCCAGGAGAGCCUGGCUCUCCCUGCUCUCCUCAACUCUGCCUUCUCUCCAUCUGUCCUCUUCCUUUCCUCUCUCCAGAGCCUUAGGGUCCUGCCCCGCAACAUGUCUCUCAAGUUCAGGUACCAAGGGCUGCCCCUGAAGCAUCAGCUCACACACCAAACCCAAGUAGCUGAAGGACGCUAGGGUCCGCAAGGAGCAGGCAGCCCUGACUCCGGAUCCGGAGGCUUUUAUUUAUUUUUUUCACAUAAAUUACACAAGCACUUUAUAAAAUGGUUACACAGAAAACACCUUAUAAGUGCAUAAAUUAACAC
rnacentral:lncRNA from 10 species